rnacentral:rRNA from 1 species
UACGGAGGGGGCUAGCGUUGUUCGGAAUUACUGGGCGUAAAGCGCACGUAGGCGGCUUUGCAAGUCAGAGGUGAAAGCCCGGGGCUCAACCCCGGAAUUGCCUUUGAGACUGCAUCGCUAGAAUUGUGGAGAGGUAAGUGGAAUUCCGAGUGUAGAGGUGAAAUUCGUAGAUAUACGAAGGAACGCCAAAAGCGAAGGCAGCUCUCUGGGUCCCUACCGACGCUGGGGUGCGAAAGCAUGGGGAGCGAACAGG